rnacentral:rRNA from 1 species
UGCUGCACCGAUCCGUCUCUUUCUCUCUGGGUGUGGCGGCACCGUAAACGCGUCGUGUGGGUUAGCUUGCUUUGCGUCUUGGUCGCAUUCAAUGCGAACCAUUCUUACAACCUGUAGCACUGGAUCCCUUGGCACGUCGAUCGAUGAAGAGCGCCGCUAACUGCGAUAAGUGGUGUGAUACGCUAGUUCACAAACUACAAGUGAACCAUCGAGUCCUCGAACGCAUUGCACCGCCCUUUUUGGGAGUGGUAUGUCGGAUUGAGCGCCAUGCAUUGUAACAACUUUGGUCAUUUGUAGGGCAACCUGCAUCUGCUCCGUCUCGGGGUUUGCGGUGGCAAGUCGCGCUCCCUUGGAACCAUGAGCCAUACCUCUUGGUCAAAUGGUAACUCCAUGCCAAUGCUGCUGGAGCAGACCUGGCCGCGUAGGUGGGCUUCCAGCUUGCCCUCGGGCUGCGCCGUCACGGUGCAAAGGUGGAGUCUCUGCCAAUGCUUGCUGGCCUCAGUUCGAUAGGAUUACCCGCUCGAUUUAAGCAUAUCAAUA